ensembl:lncRNA
UCUGUAAAGGUUGUGUGAAAGUCAAGCACAGGUCACUGUGGAGCACAUGGUGAUUUAUCAAGCUGAGCUCCUCCAUGAUGACAUGAACACUGAAGCGUCUGAGUGACACAACAGCUGCUGCCAUCACGAAUGUUUACUCUUAUAAAUAACUGGACAGGUGGAGGAGAGCUAAUUCUGGACGGACACACCAGAGUCAGGACAUACCGGCACAUCCAUGGACUCGGUGUCAUUGUCCAGAAGGAAGAUCAUGGACAGAAGUCUUCUGCUUCCUGAAUCAUAGAUGAGAUGAUUCGAACUGCAAAACAAAACUAUGAUCUGUGAUUAAUCAGAUGCUGAAGUGUGAAUGACACUGAUGAAAACCGAUGCUCCUCACCUCUAUAAAUCUGAAGCUCAAAACCAUCUGUCCUCAGAAACACGUCUUAGUUGCUGGUAAAACGGAACCAAGUCAGGUGUUUGAGAGAGGUUUGGUCCCUUUCAACCAGCUACUGCGCCGUGACUUCAGCCAGCAACACAAACACCUCAUUCUCAGGAAGAAUCAACAGUAUGAGAGAAAAAAAACAAGUGGAUUCGUAUCCAAGUCAGAAAUUUGUACACAUCACAUUACUGAUAUGUUAUUCUGUGACGUCUCUCUCUGGAAAAGCUCAGUUCUGCUCUCUACAGGAAAGAAAUGGUAAAUGCUUAAACAGUUAAACAGCCAAAUUUAGCUUUAUGUCAUUAUAUGUUUUCUAACAUUGUUGUUUUUCAUCUCAGUACUGUUUUCCAAUUUGCAGCAUUGUAAUAAAUACACAUUUAUUGAUUAAAAACUAUAGGGAAAUAAAAGAUAGGAUUUGUCUUUAUUUUUCUCUUUAUAUAUUAUUUCUGUAUGUGUGUGAAUUUUAGUUGUCAAAUAGCUAACAUUUAUUUAAAAUGCAUUAUUUCAUUUCCAUUUAAAAUACAGUGUUUUUAAACACUUUUUUUACUAUCACUACUGUAUAUAUAUUGAAUAUAUCAACCUUCAACUUAUAAUGUUAAACUAAACUGUAAAACUGCUAGUUAACCCUGUUAUUGUUUUGAAAGAAUAAUAAUGCCCUAACAUAUAAUAAAAGUAAUUUAUAGCAAAUUACAAUUGUGUAACUGGCCUAAUAUAACAAGCAAUUUUGGAGACUUUUUUCUUUACAAAUGGAAAACAGAAAAGAAGGUAAAGCAGAAUUACAUGUUGAAAUUCUAGGUGAACUCAAACAAAUGCGAGUGAUACAAUGAAACAAUAUACCAGCAUUCUUAGAGCUAAUGAAAAUAGUGCACUGUAAUUAAAUGCUGUAUAGAAAUAGAAUAUUUAUUCUUCCAUUACAAAUGUCUCAAUGCAGCUGCUUUUAAAAGUUUAAAAACAUCUUUAUUAUGAAACCAAAGGCCACUUCUUCAGAUCAACAAUUUGUGUACAAAUAUCAGAAAGCUAAAGAAACCCACAAAAAUACAGUACAUAAAUAAUCAUAUUACACCAUACGGCAGGUCAAAUAUCACUGGAUUCAGUGCUGUGCAUCUAAUGCAUUCAUUCAUUCCCUGAUUGCACUGAACUCUUGCUGUGUAUUUCAGACUGACUGUGUCAGUUCUGUAACAGAGUGAAAACAGACGAAAGAAAACCAAAAUUUGCUGAAAGUUUACUAACCCUCAGGCCAUCCAAGAUGUAAAUGAGUUUGUUUCUUCAUCAGGUUUGGAGAAAUGUAGCAUUGCAUCACUUGCUCAGCAGUGGAUGCUCUGCAGUGAAUGGGUGCCGUCAGAAUGAGAGUCCAAACAGCUGAUAAAAACAUCACAAUAAUCCACAAGGGAUGAUGAAGAAACAAACUCAUCUACAUCUGGGAUGGCCUGAGGACGAGUAACUCUUCAGCAAAUGUUUAUUUUAGGUGAACUAUUCUUUCAAUAUCCAAUAUGCAUCAAAGUGACUUGUGUACAAAAUGUUCAAAUGUUUGUUUUGAAUUUGAUCUGUUCAUUAUAAAGAGAACAUGAGCAUGUGGUCCUCACUUUCUUCCUCAUGAACUGCAGGGUGGGGAAGCAAAACAGGAUCUUUCCCACUGAAUGUGUGAGAAAACGAAACCUUCACACGUUUUCAUGAUUAGUUUUCCUAAGAGAAAAUGUCACAGUAGGCAUCACACUUUAAUCUAAAUAAAACUGAAGGAAAUAUUUUAAAGUCCAGCAAAACACACACACACACACACAUAAUUGUGAAUCUCAUGAAAACACAUCUGGGUUAUUUUCACACCAAAAAUAAAAGAACAACAAAUGCAUAAAGAAAAUUAGGCUUAUUUUAGGACCAUUACAUCUUUUUUGCAUUGUGACAUUAUUUUCAAGGCAAUCGGGUGAUUUACGCCAUAAUGCAAUGAAAAAAUAAAUUAUUUUACUGUAAUAGAGUAAAGAAAACAAAGGGAUAGUACUUCCACAAUUUAGCAUUACAGAAAUGAAAAUCGUAUAGUUGCGCAAUAAUGCCGCAAUGGAAAAAUAUGUAAAAAUCACCCUCAUAUUCUUCAUGCAAAACAUUCCCUUAUUUAAUAAUCGUUUUGGGGUAAGCAUAAUGCUAGCAUUUCUGAACAGUUUUCGUGAGACUCACUCAUACGUGUCCCUCUAAUGCCCUGGAAAAACCUCAAGUGUGCUGGGGACGGACGAGACCACGAUCAGUGCAGCAUUUUGCAGUGGCACCAGGAAAUUCAGAUACAGUAAAUGAGGGAAGGAGGAGCAGCACUUCCCAGAGACAAGGCAACAUCACUGUCAUUGUGCAUAAGUGAACAUACAGUAGCAGCCAGAUGUCUUCAGUGUCAUCAAAUCCCUCGUGAAACAGAGUAACACACAACUAGAGCUGCUGCAUCGACCUGGAACAGGGCCAUGUGUCGGUGUUAUUGCAGUUCUUUCAUUCAGCAAUUUAAUGAGAAUCCAUAACAGCAGAGAGGUGAAUCUCACAAAACACGUCAGGAACAUAAUUCACCUCAAAUUAAAAAAAAAUAUUUAAAAAAAAUUCAGAGGUUAUAAGUUGCAAAAAGAAAAUGAAGUCUGGUUUUAGGAUAAUUUUUUUGCAUUGUGAUUAUAAUACAAUUAUAUCAUUAUUAUAAUACAAAAAAAAAUUAUUAUUAUUUAUUGUGCUCCCUUUAAAUUUAUGCUGAU